GUGAAGGUAAUCAGGGCGGGGCUGACACACAAGGCGGGAACAUGAGGAGCAGGAUAUGAAAUGACGGAGACAAAGGUGAACCAUCCUUCGUAGGACCCGGCCUUCUUAGCCUGUGGAGACCGCUCAGGGAUAGUCUCCUGCUGUGAG